rnacentral:rRNA from 1 species
UACAGAGGGUGCAAGCGUUGUUCGGAAUUACUGGGCGUAAAGCGCACGUAGGCGGCUUUCUAAGUCGGGGGUGAAAUCCUGGAGCUCAACUCCAGAACUGCCUUUGAUACUGGCGAGCUUGAGUUCGGGAGAGGUGAGUGGAACUGCGAGUGUAGAGGUGAAAUUCGUAGAUAUUCGCAAGAACACCAGUGGCGAAGGCGGCUCACUGGCCCGAUACUGACGCUGAGGUGCGAAAGCGUGGGGAGCAAACAGG